rnacentral:rRNA from 1 species
AACGAACGCUGGCGGCAGGCUUAACACAUGCAAGUCGAGCGCCCCGCAAGGGGAGCGGACGGGUGAGUAACGCGUGGGAACGUACCCUUUGCUACGGAAUAGCUCCGGGAAACUGGAAUUAAUACCGUAUGUGCCCUACGGGGGAAAGAUUUAUCGGCAAAGGAUCGGCCCGCGUUGGAUUAGCUAGUUGGUGGGGUAAUGGCCUACCAAGGCGACGAUCCAUAGCUGGUCUGAGAGGAUGAUCAGCCACAUUGGGACUGAGACACGGCCCAAACUCCUACGGGAGGCAGCAGUGGGGAAUAUUGGACAAUGGGCGCGAGCCUGAUCCAGCCAUGCCGCGUGAGGGAUGAAGGCCUUAGGGUUGUAAAGCUCUUUCACCGGAGAAGAUAAUGACGGUAUCCGGAGAAGAAGCCCCGGCUAACUUCGUGCCAGCCGCCGCCGUAACAC